rnacentral:rRNA from 1 species
UCCGUAGCUGGACCGAUAAGUCUCUUGGGAAAUCCGCCGGCUUAACCGGCGGGCGUCCAGGAGAUACUGUUGGUCUAGGGACCGGGAGAGGUGAGAGGUACUCCGGGGGUAGGAGUGAAAUCCUGUAAUCCCUGGGGGACCACCGAUGGCGAAGGCAUCUCACCAGAACGGCUCCGACAGUGAGGGACGAAAGCUGGGGGAGCGAACAGGAUUAGAUACCCUGGUAGUCC